rnacentral:lncRNA from 1 species
CUCUCUCUCUCUCUCCCUCUCUCCCUCCCUCCCUCUCUCCCUGCUUUUCUAUUCUGGGAAGCGGCACCAGGAAUAACCUGCCGUCCUCUGCGCGCCUCCGCUCCUUCACUCGCACCCGCGUCUCCGGGGGAAGAAGCGGGAGAAGAAGAAGAAGAAGCGGGACCUGCUCGUUAUUAUCGGCGUUAUUUAUUACUCGUCGUUGUCGUCAUCGUCGUCACCGUCGCCGUUAUUUGUCGCGCGUGAGCAGGACGGACGGGAGCGCGCCGCCGCCGGGGGAUGUCGCCGGGCGCGACACGGGCGUGUGAGGUGGGCGUGCGUCUGGAUUAGAUCGCCGGGAACGCCAGGAGGACCGCAGCCCGGACGAGCCCCCGAGUGGUCUCCUGGCCAAGGGGUCCCUCUCUGAUCGACCCAGUGCCCCCCCCCCCCCCGCCCACCGGCCUGACCUCAGCGACCCUCAGACGGUGCCAGGCGCAUCUCCCGAGCCCCACCCCGACCCCCCUCUCCCACCCGUACGCCACGCAGCCGGCCCACGCCGCGCGGCCCCCGGCCGGUGAGUUCACCGCACGAAUGGCGUGGACGUGAGAGAGCAGGGCCGGGGGGGGGGGACACGUGUCCUGCGGCCGGCGCAUCUGGCUGCGGCCCUGCGGGGGGAGGCUGCG